GAUGAACGCUGGCGGCGUGCCUAAUACAUGCAAGUCGAGCGAACAGACGAGGAGCUUGCUCCUCUGACGUUAGCGGCGGACGGGUGAGUAACACGUGGAUAACCUACCUAUAAGACUGGGAUAACUUCGGGAAACCGGAUCUAAUACCGGAUAAUAUAUUGAACCGCAUUGUUCAAUAGUGAAAGACGGUUUUGCUGUCACUUAUAGAUGGAUCCGCGCCGCAUUAGCCAGUUGGUAAGGUAACGGCUUACCAAGGCGACGAUGCGUAGCCGACCUGAGAGGGUGAUCGGCCACACUGGAACUGAGACACGGUCCAGACUCCUACGGGAGGCAGCAGUAGGGAAUCUUCCGCAAUGGGCGAAAGCCUGACGGAGCAACGCCGCGUGAGUGAUGAAGGUCUUCGGAUCGUAAAACUCUGUUAUUAGGGAAGAACAAAUGUGUAAGUAACUAUGCACGUCUUGACGGUACCUAAUCAGAAAGCCACGGCUAACUACGUG
rnacentral:rRNA from 1 species